CUGCCUCCCGCUACAGGCAAGAGAGAGCCUGUCUCUCCGGGUGAGGAAGGAUCCCCCUUUGUAGUUCUCGGCAGGUCAGACCGCCAGCGUGCACCACAGGGUCUGUGGAGGACAGCCAAGCGACUGGAGUUACAGAAGAGGAAGGGAGGAGAGAAGGAGAAAGAAGCGUCUGAACUGGCAAAUUCUCCCAGCAGCGCCAAGAGCGAGAGCUGUGUGUCCUGCGCCCUGCUCCUCAUUUUUGGCAGCCUCCGCCUCUGCCCAGCAGCCCAUCACUCCAGGAGCCAACCGACCGACUACCCGUUGCCCACUGGACUGACAAGCGCAGCUCCGGAAACGACU